rnacentral:ncRNA from 2 species
UGGUGGAAUGUCUACGGGAAACUGAUGCCUCCCUCAGCCGGAGAGCCCUGGAACUAAGCCUGGCUCUGGUAAAUAGCUCCAAUGUGCGAGCCAUGAUGCAAGAGCUGCAGGCCUUUCUGGAGUCCUGCCCUCCUGACCUACGGGCUGACUGUGCCUCAGGCAUCCUGCUGGCUGCAGAGAGACACCAUCCUGCAUGUGCUGACAACGGUGAGGCAGGGGCCAGUCAGAGAGCUGGGCAGAAGUGGUCAAGAUUCACCACACUGACUUGGCCAUGCCCACACCUUCCAGGCGGGCACCCAUGUGCGGGAUGAUGCAGUG